GUCAACUACCCCGCCCUAACGGGCGGAGCUUGAAAGAAGCUCGGGUUGACCAGACCGAGCGGUAACCAACCCGCUACGUUGUACGCAGUGCCCAAGACCGACCCUGCCGUGCUUCCUCAGCGGCAGGCUCUCGA
rnacentral:sRNA from 18 species